rnacentral:rRNA from 1 species
UACGUAGGGGGCAAGCGUUAUCCGGAAUUACUGGGUGUAAAGGGAGCGUAGGCGGUAAUGUAAGUCUGGAGUGAAAGGCGGGGGCCCAACCCCCGGACUGCUCUGGAAACUAUGUUACUAGAGUGCAGGAGAGGUAAGCGGAAUUCCUAGUGUAGCGGUGAAAUGCGUAGAUAUUAGGAGGAACACCAGUGGCGAAGGCGGCUUACUGGACUGUAACUGACGUUGAGGCUCGAAAGCGUGGGGAGCAAACAGG